AAGAAAAGGUUUGGUCUUUGCCUAGCUUUUCACUAUGAGCUAAGUUUAUACAUGCUAGCCAUCGAUGGCGCGCAGGUGAAUAAUAUACGAGAAAAA
rnacentral:rRNA from 1 species